AUGUGCUUAAUGGCAGAGCAGAUAUACAAGUUUAAUCAUUCUGAAUACCUUUUCAAGCAUAGCACAAUACUUAAAUCAUUCAUAACAUUAAGGAAUAUCCUGUGCUUUUGUAUCUCUGAAGGCUGUUUUAACUUUGAACUGAGGUGAGUUCAAGUAGAACUGUUGAAGGUUUACGGGAUCUUCAGAUUCCUUCAGGGAUUCAACCUGGAGAUUCUGUGAAGUUGUCGCGUUUGGGAGUUCCAGACAUAAACAAACCAUCUGUUUGAGGCGAUCAUUAUUUCAUUGUGAAUGCUCUUAUUCCCAAGGAUAUCAGUGGCACCGAACGUGUACUUGUUGAGCAGUUAGCUUCACUAAAAGCAUCUAGCAAUAGGGAUUCACUGUCUUCUAAAGACAAUGGGAUACCUAAAGGAAAAUUCAAUGAAUUCAUAAAAAGGGAUCCAAAAGGUUACACUUCAAGCAAGGGAAUAAAAAAUGUUGGCUCUCUAUGGGGAUCAAUCAAGAACUUCUUAAGGGGAGGACAGUCUGAAGAAAGGUUUGCCUCUAUCAGCAUGGUUACGACAGCAUUAUUAUGGAGAUCUGGCCACCAAAAUCCUGUCCCUGAUUACUUUUUUGUUGUUUGCAUUAUAACUUGGAUUUUUGCCUCUAUAGCAAAGUCUAAGCAUUCGAUACUUCAGAAAAGAUCUGAGUCCUUUAAUAGAACACACGGUGAAAAAAAUUAAGGGUAUGCUUGGUUAGAAGAUUAAAAAAUAGGAAGGGUAGUGGAAUGGUUUUGAUUUUUUAGGCCUUGGAGCUUGGUAGAAAGAUGUAUAUUGGUGAUAAGAGGGUAAAAAAAUUAGUUUCAGCUUUUUUUCAAACUAUGAGAGGUCAAAAUUGAGAGAGUGGAGUAGGAAUGAGUUCCACUACACUAAAACACCCCACACCACUGCUAUACGAAGCACGUGUUAGUAAUUUCUUCCAAAAUUCUCUUCUAUUUUUUUUAGUUCUCCUACACUCCUAAAACAUUCUGUGUGAGCUAAGAUUAGUGGUUUGAACUCACCCUAUAUGCUCUCCCACCAUGGCAACCCUUGCUAAAACAUGGUCCUGUCUAAAUAUUUCAAGCAGUGAAGUUACAUUCAAAAUAUCCCUUCAAUUUGGCAUGCCGUGUGAAUUCUUAACAUUAGCAAACUUGUUAAAAGAAACUAGGAAAGUGAAGAGAGAGGAUGGCAACUCAUGUGGUUGGUUAACGCGGUUCUAAAUUGUAUUUGGAUGUGGUAAUUUGUUGUCAAGUUUUUAAUCUGUUUGUUCCAGUUACCAACAUAUGAUGAAAAUAAUAAAAUAGAAUUUUAACA